CGGUCAAUACCAGAUGCAAAUCAAGUUCAAUGUUGCAUUGCACUGUUAUUGAUCU
rnacentral:pre_miRNA from 1 species